rnacentral:rRNA from 1 species
UACGGAGGAUGCAAGCGUUAUCCGGAAUGAUUGGGCGUAAAGGGUCCGCAGGUGGCAGUGUAAGUCUGCUGUCAAAGAAUGAGGCUUAACCUCAUCAAGGCAGUGGAAACUACACAGCUAGAGUACGGUCGGGGUAGAAGGAAUUCCUGGUGUAGCGGUGAAAUGCGUAGAUAUCUGGAGGAAUACCGGUGGCGAAGGCGGCAUCCUGGACCGACAUUGACGCUGAGGAGACGAAAGCU